rnacentral:rRNA from 1 species
GCAUCACGAGGGUUAUACUGUCUCCUUUUUCUAAUCAGUGAAACUAAUCUUCCCGUGAAGAAGCGGGAAUACUCCCAUAAGACGAGAAGACCCCAUGGAGCUUCAAACCCAAUUACACCCCUAACCCAUAUAACUAUUUAACCCUUAGGGCCCUGUACCAUUGGUUUUAGGUUGGGGCGACCACGGAGUACAACAAAACCUCCACAAUGAACGGAACUACUCCCUCAUCUAAGAGCUACACCUCUAAGAAUUAAAAUAUUAACAUAAAAUGAUCCAUUUUUUGAUCAAUGAACCAAGUUACCCUGGGGAUAACAGCGCAAUCCAUUUCAAGAGCCCCUAUCGACAAAUGGGUUUACGACCUCGAUGUUGGAUCAGGGUAUCCUAGUGGUGCAGCAGCUACUGAAGGUUCGUUUGUUCAACGAUCAAAACCCU